rnacentral:rRNA from 1 species
AUUGAACGCUGGCGGCAGGCCUAACACAUGCAAGUCGAACGAGUGGCGGACGGGUGAGUAAUGUCUGGGAAACUGCCCGAUGGAGGGGGAUAACUACUGGAAACGGUAGCUAAUACCGCAUACCAUCGGAUGUGCCCAGAUGGGAUUAGCUAGGCGGGGGGGUAAUGGCUCACCUAGGCGACGAUCCCUAGCUGGCCUGCGAGGAUGACCAGCCACACGGGAACUGAGACACGGUCCAAACUCCUCCGGGAGGAGCCAGUGGGGAAUAUUGGACAAGGGGCGAAAGCCUGAUGCAGCCAUGCCGCGUGUAUGAAGAAGGCCUUCGGGUUGUAAAGUACUUUCAGCGAGGAGGCGUUACUCGCAGAAGAAGCACCGGCUAACUCCGUGCCAGCAGCCGCGGUAAUUC